rnacentral:rRNA from 1 species
GAUGAACGCUGGCGGCGUGCUUAACACAUGCAAGUCGAACGAAGCACUUUGAAAGCUUGCUUUCAAAGUGACUGAGUGGCGGACGGGUGAGUAACGCGUGGGUAACCUGCCUUAUACAGGGGGAUAACAGUUGGAAACGACUGCUAAUACCGCAUAAGCGCACAGUGCCGCAUGGCACAGUGUGAAAAACUCCGGUGGUAUAAGAUGGACCCGCGUCUGAUUAGCUAGUUGGUGAGGUAACGCCUCACCAAGGCGACGAUCAGUAGCCGGCUUGAGAGAGUGAUCGGCCACAUUGGGACUGAGACACGGCCCAAACUCCUACGGGAGGCAGCAGUGGGGAAUAUUGCACAAUGGGGGAAACCCUGAUGCAGCAACGCCGCGUGAGUGAAGAAGUAUUUCGGUAUGUAAAGCUCUAUCAGCAGGGAAGAUAAUGACGGUACCUGACUAAGAAGCCCCGGCUAACUACGUGCCAGCCGCCGCCGUAAAAC